rnacentral:rRNA from 1 species
GACGAACGCUGGCGGCGUGCCUAAUACAUGCAAGUCGAACGCAGUGGGGACGGGUGAGUAACCCGUGGGUAACCUCCCAUCAGAGGGGAUAACACUUGUAAUCAGGUGCUAAACCGAUACUGAUGGAUGGACCCGCGGUGCAUUAGCGAGUUGGUGAGGUAACGGCUAACCAGGUCCACGAUGCAUAGCGGGCCGGAGAGGGUGAUCAGCCACACUGGGACUGAGACACGGCCCAGACUCAUACGGGAGGCAGCAGUAGGGAAUAUUCGGCAAUGGGCGAAAGUCUGACCGAGCAACGCCGCGUGAGUGAAGAAGGUUUUCGGAUCGUAAAACUCUGUUGGUAGAGAGGCGGUAUCCAAAGAGAAAGCAACGGCUAACUACGUGCCAGCAGCCGCGGUAAUUC